rnacentral:rRNA from 1 species
GACGAACGCUGGCGGCGUGCCUAAUACAUGCAAGUCGAGCGGACGAUUCAAAAGCUUGCUUUUGGAUCGUUAGCGGCGGACGGGUGAGUAACACGUGGGCAACCUGCCCUGUAGACGGGGAUAACACCGAGAAAUCGGUGCUAAUACCGGAUAACACGAAAGACCGCAUGGUCUUUCGUUGAAAGGCGGCGCAAGCUGUCGCUACAGGAUGGGCCCGCGGCGCAUUAGCUAGUUGGUGAGGUAACGGCUCACCAAGGCGACGAUGCGUAGCCGACCUGAGAGGGUGAUCGGCCACACUGGGACUGAGACACGGCCCAGACUCCUACGGGAGGCAGCAGUAGGGAAUCUUCCGCAAUGGACGAAAGUCUGACGGAGCAACGCCGCGUGAGCGAAGAAGGCCUUCGGGUCGUAAAGCUCUGUUGUUAGGGAAGAACAAGUACCGCAGUCACUGGCGGUACCUUGACGGUACCUAACGAGGAAGCCACGGGUAACUACGUGCCAGCAGCCGCGGUAAUAAU